UGGCUGUGGUAACUUGUGACGCCCGUAACACCAUGCGCAGAGUUGCCCAGAGCUACUCCUCAAUAAUAACUUACAAGUGAUAACCUAAUAAUACAGUAUUAUAAUUAAUCAUUAAUUAAGGAGAAAAUGGAGUUCAUGUAAUUUUGUAAUUUUGACUGAAGUGGAGAUAGCUAUGAGUUAACUGACCAUAUCACUGAAUAGAUUCCAUCCUCCCCUGCCUUGUGACCUGUGGACAAGUUUGAGUUUCGGUUGGCUCAACUGAAGAUACAUGAUGCACUUGAUCUGUCAACGUGUCUUAUUGUGCUUCAUGCGCUUGAAACUGCACAGGAUAGAGGUCAGGGAUUUGGGCAGGCUUUGUUAAACUCCCCAUAUGCUCUAUGUUUGUAUACUUCGCAUAUUACAAUGGUCAUUAAUAAUAUAUGUAUUUUAUAUAGAGCUUUUCCUUACAUGAAGAACCUCAAACGCUUUAAAAACGAAACAAAAAAAUCAAAAAUAAUUCAUUUAUUGAUGGUAGGACGUUCAUGUGUUGGCUGGACAAUGAUCUUAUACGGUGGCGGCGUGUCCAGAGGACAUCAACUCAAGCAUAGGAAUAGCUGAGCUUUUUUUCCACAGUUGGAGAAAUCUAGGGCGUAUCCUCCCCUAAACUCUUGGAGAUGUCUCCAAAACAGCACCGUUGCCAUGAUUCCCACGCUCCCCCUACCUUGGGCUUCCAGUGGGGAGACCUGAGGUCAACCUCCCCCCACACCCCUCCCCAUCUCGUAAUUCUGAGUGGGAGACCUUCCCAAGCAGUAGCCUGCCUAGAUCACAAACUUGUAAGGACCGACGCUGGAGUCGAGAAACAGGUACGGGGAGUCAAACAUUUUAUUGG